rnacentral:rRNA from 1 species
CGCCCAAAAGCUAGCCCGCCCCAUCACAACCAACAAAUCACUAUUUAUAAACCCUCACGCACUAAAAAUGCUCAAACAAACCAUUUUACCAUCCUAGUAUGGGAGACAGAAAAGAGCCUACGGCGCUAUAAAGAAAGUACCGCAAGGGACUGCUGAAAGAGAAAUGAAACAACCCAGUAAAGCCUAGAAAAGCAGAGAUUACCCCUCGUACCUUUUGCAUCAUGAUUUAGUUAGUAAAAUUUAAGCAAGACUUAUUUUAGUUUAAAACCCCGAAACUAGGUGAGCUACUCCAAGACAGCCUAUCAACCAGGGCACACCCUUCUCUGUGGCAAAAGAGUGGGAAGAGCUUCGAGUAGCGGUGACAGACCUACCGAACUUAGUUAUAGCUGGUUGCUUGAGAGAUGGAUAGGAGUUCAGCCUUUAGGCUUCUUCCUUCAACUUGGUCUCACCACCACUCGUUGUCCAAGAAACCUAAGGAGUUAGUCAAAGGGGGUACAGCCCCUUUGAAAAAAGACACAACUUUCCCAGGAGGAUAAAAAUCAGAAUAAAUAAGGACAAAUGUUAGGGUGGGCCUAAAAGCAGCCAUCCCUGCGGAAUGCGUUAAAGCUCAGACAUUUAAAUAAACCCUUCGAUCCCGAUAACUUUACCUUAACCCCUACAAUUAUCAAGCCGUCCCAUGCCACCAUGGGAGCGAUCCUGCUAACAUGAGUAAUAAGAGGGCCAAGACCCUCUCCCAAGCACAAGUGUACAUCGGAACGAACCGCCACCGAAACUUAACGGCCCCAAUGGAAGAGGGCACUGGACAGCAACAGACCACACCAGAAAAGUAUCCAGGAACUAACCGUUAACCCCACACUGGUGUGCCUAAAGGGAAAGGCUAAAAGAAAGAGAAGGAACUCGGCAAACACCUGAAGCCUCGCCUGUUUACCAAAAACAUCGCCUCUUGCAAAAUUAACGAAUAAGAGGUCCCGCCUGCCCAGUGACUAUAAGUUCAACGGCCGCGGUAUUUUGACCGUGCAAAGGUAGCGCAAUCACUUGUCUUUUAAAUGGAGACCUGUAUGAAUGGCAUCACGAGGGCUUAGCUGUCUCCUUUUUCCAGCCAAUGAAAUUGAUCUUUCCGUGCAGAAGCGGGAAUAACAACAUAAGACGAGAAGACCCUAUGGAGCUUUAGACACUAAGACAGAUCACGUCAAACACCCCAGUUUAACGGGCUGAACUAAAUGAACCCUGUCCUAAUGUCUUUGGUUGGGGCGACCCUGGGGAGACAAAUAACCCCCAUGUGGAAUGGAAACACCAUAUUUCCAGAACCAAGAGCUAACCGCUCUAAGGAGCAGAAUUUCUGACCAUUUUAGAUCCGGCUACUGCCGAUCAGCGGACCGAGUUACCCUAGGGAUAACAGCGCAAUCCUCUUUUAGAGCCCAUAUCGACAAGGGGGUUUACGACCUCGAUGUUGGAUCAGGACAUCCUAAUGGUGCAGCCGCUAUUAAGGGUUCGUUUGUUCAACGAUUAAAGUCCUACGUGAUCUGAGUUCAGACCGGAGUAAUCCAGGUCAGUUUCUAUCUAUGGUAUGACCUUUUCUAGUACGAAAGGACCGAAAAGGAGGGGCCAAUGCUCAAAGCACGCCUCACCCCCACCUAGUGAAGACAACUAAAAUAGGUAAGGGGGCAUGCCCACCAGCCUGAGAGCAUGGCAU